UGCAGUCACGUGACAUGGUUUGUUCCUAUUUAAGGAGCAAAGUCUGUAUAGGUGAUUCAUAUCCACACCACAGCCUGACCAUCGUCAAGAUGAAGAAGGUGCCAGUCAUCCUUGCUCUGCUCGCCAUCAUUCUGUGUCACCGUGCGGAGGCAUUCAUCGUCCAAUGCGCAUGCGCAACUGAUGCGGUAAGAGUGAGGAACAGGCCUGGAAUCUGGAACACGCAAGUCCACGUCAUGUUCCCUGGGUGGUGCAGGCGUUACCUUGGAGAAACCGCCAGGGCCGGAGAUUAUGUUUGGAGGAAGAUAGAGUACGACAAUGCUCCUGCCUGGGUUCCUACCAACUGGGUGCAAAUCAAGACCAAGUUUUUCUUUUGCUAAGUUCACAUCAAACGGAUCGCCAGAGAUGUUCAAGUGAACGUCUGCCCUUGGAUCUGCGUGCAGUCACCUGAAGCACCCGGUGUCUGUCCACAUCUCUGAGGAUGCUAAUACCUGGCGACUGUGAAUGCUGAGCCAGUCCCUUCAAAAUUUCACGUGCACAAAAACAAUAACUCCAAUUAUGUUUUUAGUGGACAUAUAAUAAAGUUAUUUAUAAGAGAUUCAGUAUUUUUUGUUAGCUUCUUUAGAAAUUUUUAUUUUCAAAUUUUAUUAUA